UCCCAUAUUACAAAAUGAUCCGUCGAAUAGUCUAGCUCAUCAUCUUCUUAUCCGAUCAAUUAUAUUUGCGGGAAUCGGUAGCAUACUAACCGUCAUAAGCGUCAUGUCCUGCGAUAAAGCAGAAAAGGUCGCAUUCAAAAUAGCAAAAUUAUGUAACAGUCUACACGCAGAUGUCCAAGAUCCAAUCCUGGAAGAAGAGCUUCGUGGUUUGUCUACUUUCAUAAUAGAGCUGAGACCAAAAUUUACUAUGUAUGGUUUUUUCUAUAUAAAUCAGCAAAUGAUACCGGUAUUCAUAUCGGCCCUUACAACUUAUCUCAUUAUAUUAAUCCAGUUUAAAAUUCAAAAAUAAUCGAACGCUCCAUAGAAAUUCAUAAAAUGUAUUUAUUUUUACUGUAGGUAGUUAUUAAAGUGUUCUGGAAUUUGU
rnacentral:lncRNA from 1 species